CUUCCACCAAAAUGCCAAACCGUGCUCCAAAACAAAAGCCAAAUUUAUUCAGCAGACAUUUUAAUUAUGAAAUCCUAUAAAUCAGGACCACCACAAUUUCAGACACUCCGUUGCGAAGUGUACAUCAAUAGCUACAUCUGGAGGAUGAACAAGCCAUUGAAUCUUUUAAAAAUUGGUUUAGCUACCUUAAAGUUUGGGGGUGGCACCUUACAAAAGCGCCGUCAAGUUUCAUACAGCCAGCGGCUUCUUCUCUGGGAGAGUCACAUUUUAAAACCGGUUUCAGACACAAAAGAAGGGCUGGCACGGGAGGAGGAAAUAAAUUGUGAGGGUGAGGAGCCGCCGAGGCCGAGGCCCAUGACUCCAUGGAGGGCCAGAAGAGAGCAGAAAAACGUCCAGGGUCUCUCAUGCAUUCCUAUAGACACCAGAAAGGGUGGAAUAAGAAAGCUCAGCUGGGAGGACAAGAAAGAGACUCAAGAGAUCGUUUAUGACUGUUUCUGAGAAAGCUCCUGGCAUGGCCAUGAGUGGCCUUCCGGGAGUCCUGUAAAAAGGAAAGCACAGAAAACAGGAAAGAACUCUCCCUACACGUCCCUCUCUGCCUGUUUGUGUCCUCGGGAGACUCCAAGCGGUGGUAAAGCACCAACAGGGCUCUUCUUGGAGCAAGAGAAAGAAAAGACUCCGGGGUGAGUAAGCUCUCCCAGGAACCCCACAGCAAACCGUGACCUUGAACACAGAUGGCAAGGUCAAGUCAUUUACAAGUCCACAUUCAAAUCCAAAUCUCCCACCUGCAAAAUUCUUCACCUCUCUCCAGUCCCUUAAUUGGAGUUCACAUCUCCCACCUUCACCAGCCACCGAAUCGGUGGGAAAAAGGGGCAAUGCCAAGCCACCCACCACCAAACUUUUACAUUCUUCUCCCCUCUGGAAUUUCUUUGCACAGCAAUUGUAGCACCACUUACUAAGCUCCUCCACCAGAAAAUAAGAAAAUGUAUGCGUGUCGUUAGUUUUCAAGUAUUGUUAUAAAGCCAUCGCGAUUCCUACCCCUGAGCCCUCCUUAAACAAUCCAAGCUCACGACGCCCCCAAGGGCUAAGUGAGGUACAAGUCGAUGCAAGUAGCUGCCAUAGUUCUCCCAGUUUAUCCCAGGUCCUUGGGCUUGGAUGGCCCGGGAAAUUCUCAUGCCCCACGGAAGCACCCUGGCGCAUACAUUUCUCCACGCUUAAGUUUUCUCCGACGGCCUCGCCGCGGCUGGUAACUUCUCUGGUUGAGAUCUCUCCCCACGCGCCUCCCCGCAGCCAAAGUGGCCGGGCUGUCCUGCGCCGCGUCCAGCUGCAGCGUCUCGCCGAUC
rnacentral:lncRNA from 1 species